CCUUUUGAUUUUGCCCUCAAACUUGAAUGGUCUUGCAUGCACCCACAUUUCACAAUCACAUGUAUAUAAUCAACAAAAGUAAAAAUGAUAUAAUAGUAUUGAUUCAAGCUGAGUAAAAAGGACCUUCCAGAGAACAAAAACAUCCAACAUUUUCCACUUAUAUGCACGUAUUCGAAAAGGUGAAGUGAGAAAUUAAUACGUAACGCGUUAUAUUUAUUAUUCGAAAAAUUUAUGUACUCCCAUGUGUAAAAGUAGGAUAAAAAGAGUGUUUGGUUGUUGUCAUCUUGCUUUACCACUAGAAAAACAACAAUUUUCAAAAUAUGAAUCUUUUGUGUGUGCAAUCAGAGAUAUGUUAAGCUCAUAAUGAGGGAAUUUAAUAAUGUUUUCAGGACUAUUAUGAAUUUCAUGUUAUUUGUGUUGAAAUAUGGUUAUAAAUAUUGCACAUUUACUGUACAAUAAAUAUAGAUUGAUUGGAUAAUAAAUGUAGACUUGUUUGUAAUAAAUCCCUAAAAUGAAGAGAUUGAGAUUAAGAAUUUAUUUGGUAUAUUUGCUCUAGAUUUAGAGUCUUUAUGCCUGGAGAUUUAUUUCCUUUAUUUUAAGAGAUUUAUUUCCUGGAACAUCCAAUGUUUGACUAAUUCUAAAUUCAUGAAAAUGUUGGGAAAUCUUGUUAGAAAUCAUAAACCAAAAAUUCUUUUUCUUGUUGCACCUAUGGCUGUUUUUUCUGAUGCUCACACUAGAUUUUUUCAAUCUUUUAAUUUGAAGCUGAUUGCUUUUAAUGCUAACUCUGCCAAAGUCGCUAAGCUUUGGUGCCUUGGUAAUGCUAAUUUAAAUAUUGUUGUGUUACAUUCCUCUAGAAUCAAUCACCAUCGUUCAAACAUUUUAUCAAACACUUUGUUGAGCAUUGCACAAUAUGUGUAACAUGAGAAAGUGAAAACGUAAGAAAAGAAAACAAAGCAAAAUAUAGAAUCAAAAUAAUGAAAGUGUUGUUAAAAAUAAAAGGAAAUAAUGAAAUUACCUCCAUUGCUCUUCCUUCUCGGAGGUUUUAUACAACUUCUUCUUGAGUUAGAGACAGAGAAGCACUUGAAACUCUGAUCCCGUAACAGCAACUCAGAGGAAGAGAGAAGCUUCACUCCCACUCUCGAAAGCUAUUGUGAAGCGGUGUCAAAGGAAACAGAGGAAGAGAAAGACGGAGACUAAGAGCAGCGGGAACAAGAGAGUGAAACGAGAUUGAAAGAGGAACGAGACCGAGAUUGAAAGAGAAAGAACGAGAUUUAGAGAGUAAUGAAAACGAGUACGAGAGACUGAGUUGGGUCUGAAAGAGUGAGAAAGGAAGUUCAGAUGGAGAG
rnacentral:lncRNA from 1 species